UUACGUCCGUUCGAGGGAGUUAUCUGAGCAUCAGGACGUGGUUCAGGGUGCGGUCCGGUAGCUGCCGCGGUAGGUCCUUCCGGCGUCGGGGGUAGCGAAGGCGGUGCGGCUGCGGGCGUGCAUGCUUCUCCUCCCGAGCUGGAGGCACUUGCGCCGAGUGCGUUGUGGAAUGCGUCUGUCAUCUUUGCUGUUUCGUCGGUUCGUAGUUUUGAGAGAAAUCUUCGAGCUUCUCCCCUACCUGGCGCGCCAACUGUUGAUCCUCAAAAUCAAACAAGUACG
rnacentral:lncRNA from 1 species